rnacentral:rRNA from 1 species
UACAGAGGGGGCAAGCGUUGUUCGGAAUUACUGGGCGUAAAGGGCGCGUAGGCGGCCUUCUAAGUCAGACGUGAAAUCCCUCGGCUCAACCGGGGAACUGCGUCUGAGACUGGAAGGCUUGAAUCCGGGAGGAGGGAUGUGGAAUUCCAGGUGUAGCGGUGAAAUGCGUAGAUAUCUGGAGGAACACCGGUGGCGAAGGCGGCAUCCUGGACCGGUAUUGACGCUGAGGCGCGAAAGCUAGGGUAGCAAACGGG